rnacentral:rRNA from 1 species
CCUACGGGAGGCAGCAGUGGGGAAUAUUGCACAAUGGGGGAAACCCUGAUGCAGCGACGCCGCGUGAGUGAAGAAGUAUUUCGGUACGUAAAGCUCUAUCAGCAGGGAAGAAAAAAAGUCCUUUGGACUUUGGACGGUACCUGAAUAAGAAGCACCGGCUAACUACGUGCCAGCAGCCGCGGUAAUACGUAGGGGGCAAGCGUUAUCCGGAUUGACUGGGUGUAAAGGGAGCGUAGACGGCAGCGCAAGUCUGGAGGGAAAUGCCGGGGCCCAACCCCGGAACUGCUUUGGAAACUGUGCAGCUGGAGUGCAGGAGAGGUAAGCGGAAUUCCUAGUGUAGCGGUGAAAUGCGUAGAUAUUAGGAGGAACACCAGUGGCGAAGGCGGCUUACUGGACUGUAACUGACGUUGAGGCUCGAAAGCGUGGGGAGCAAACAGGAUUAGAUACCCGAGUAGUC